UAAGAGAAAUGAAGAACUUGGAUAAUCUAAAGCGCUCGAAAGAUAAAAUUUUAAACUAUGAAUUGAAAAGUACAGGAUAAAAAGAUAGGUUUUGUGUGUUCAGUCGGAGGUCCUCUUCUCUUCUUCUGACGACCAAUUUAUAGAGCUUCCUUCAACUCACAGGAUUUGACCAUUAAAUGUCCACAACUAAUUCUGUCUUGAAAAUCCUUCCAAUAUUAAUGUCUUCCGGAGCUUUAGGCAUGAACUGCCCAUAAUGUGCAAUGAAUCUUGGUAGGUUGACACUUAAUCCUUCAUGUCUUUAAACUCCGCCACUUGCAGGGAAACUUUUGCUGGAGCUUCUAAGCAUACUUCUUGGAUCGGGCUACUCUGGCAUUCUUGAAUUGGGGAACAUUUUUACAACCGAGGAUUUUUUAUUUAACACGCAUAUAUACAUAUGAUAGUUUUUGGUUGGCCAAAAUAAUUCAAACCGUGGGUGGGUCUAAUCAUGACAUAUAUAAAUACUAAAGUAAAGCUUUAGCCAUCCUUCCCGUCACUUUCUCCCCAUCAUAUGCACAUAUUAUAUCCUUAGUUUUAUAUUGAAAAGGUUUGAUCAAGUUGCAACCCCUCAUUGUUUAGCAGCUUUUCUCAUCUUUUGCAGAGAAUUCCCACGCUCCUUUCAACAACUACAUCCGCUCAACUCCAACUUCCCCAUAGCCAUCCUGUGCGUGAGCUCCUCCAUAGCCAAUUAAUCCAUCAACAAGCCAUGCAACCUCACCCACACUAUCCCACUUUUGAGUUCCACCUUUGGAUGGUGGAUUUUUAACCACACUCAAACAAAUGGCUACAAGUCUUCCCAUCUUCGAAUUCCACCACUUGCAACCUAUAUAAGAUAAACUUUUCAGCCCAAUUUGCUCCAGUUGCACCUUUGCAUCCACCUUCCUAUAAUAUAUAUACAUAUAAAGCAAUAACUUGUCAGCCAACUUGCAAACCACCCAAAGGCUUAUGAUGGAGCUUAUAUAUAUAAACUUGGUGACAUGCAAAAUGGGCUGGAAAGUUCUUUAUCUUUAAGAAGACUUAGGCCGCACAUUUGCAUUUGCUUUCUUAUAUAUAUAUAAAAGCAUACAAUAGAA